rnacentral:rRNA from 1 species
UAAGGAAUAUUGGUCAAUGGACGCAAGUCUGAACCAGCCAUGCCGCGUGAAGGAUGAAGGUCCUCUGGAUUGUAAACUUCUUUUAUCUGGGACGAAAACGGGAUUUUUAUCUCAAUUGACGGUACCAGAGGAAUAAGCACCGGCUAACUCCGUGCCAGCAGCCGCGGUAAUACGGAGGGUGCGAGCGUUAUCCGGAUUCACUGGGUUUAAAGGGUGCGUAGGUGGGCAGAUAAGUCAGUGGUGAAAUCUUCCGGCUUAACCGGGAAACUGCCGUUGAUACUAUUUGUCUUGAAUAUUGCGGAGGUAAGCGGAAUAUGUCAUGUAGCGGUGAAAUGCUUAGAUAUGACAUAGAACACCAAUUGCGAAGGCAGCUUACUACACAAUCAUUGACACUGAGGCACGAAAGCGUGGGUAGCGAACA